GCAGUGGUAGUUCAGUGGUAGAAUUCUCAGUUUCCAUGGGGGAGACCCAGGUUUGAUUCCUGGCUAACGUA
rnacentral:tRNA from 1 species